rnacentral:rRNA from 1 species
UACGUAGGAUGCAAGCGUUGUCCGGAUUUAUUGGGCGUAAAGAGCACGCAGGUGGCUUGGCAAGUUGGAUGUGAAAUUUCCUGGCUUAACUAGGAAGGGUCGUUCAAAACUGCUGAGCUUGAGGGCAGCAGAGGAAAGUGGAAUUCCCGGUGUAGUGGUGAAAUGCGUAGAUAUCGGGAGGAACACCAGUGGCGAAGGCGGCUUUCUGGGCUGCAACUGACGCUGAGGCGCGAAAGCGUGGGGAGCGAACCGAAUUAGAUACUCGGGUAGUCCACGCCGUAAACGAUGGACACUAGGUGUAGGGGGUAUCGACCCCUCCUGUGCCGAAGCUAACGCAUUAAGUGUCCCGCCUGGGGAGUACGGCCGCAAGGCUAAA